UUGAACGCUGGCGGCAGGCCUAACACAUGCAAGUCGAGCGGUAGCACAGAGAGCUUGCUCUCGGGUGACGAGCGGCGGACGGGUGAGUAAUGUCUGGGAAACUGCCUGAUGGAGGGGGAUAACUACUGGAAACGGUAGCUAAUACCGCAUAACGUCGCAAGACCAAAGUGGGGGACCUUCGGGCCUCAUGCCAUCAGAUGUGCCCAGAUGGGAUUAGCUAGUAGGUGGGGUAACGGCUCACCUAGGCGACGAUCCCUAGCUGGUCUGAGAGGAUGACCAGCCACACUGGAACUGAGACACGGUCCAGACUCCUACGGGAGGCAGCAGUGGGGAAUAUUGCACAAUGGGCGCAAGCCUGAUGCAGCCAUGCCGCGUGUGUGGAGAAGGCCUUCGGGUUGUAAAGCACUUUCAGCGGGGAGGAAGGCGAUAAGGUUAAUAACCUUGUCGAUUGACGUUACCCGCAGAAGAAGCACCGGCUAACUCCGUGCCAGCAGCCGCGGUAAUACGGAGGGUGCAAGCGUUAAUCGGAAUUACUGGGCGUAAAGCGCACGCAGGCGGUCUGUCAAGUCGGAUGUGAAAUCCCCGGGCUCAACCUGGGAACUGCAUUCGAAACUGGCAGGCUAGAGUCUUGUAGAGGGGGGUAGAAUUCCAGGUGUAGCGGUGAAAUGCGUAGAGAUCUGGAGGAAUACCGGUGGCGAAGGCGGCCCCCUGGACAAAGACUGACGCUCAGGUGCGAAAGCGUGGGGAGCAAACAGGAUUAGAUACCCUGGUAGUCCACGCCGUAAACGAUGUCGAUUUGGAGGUUGUGCCCUUGAGGCGUGGCUUCCGGAGCUAACGCGUUAAAUCGACCGCCUGGGGAGUACGGCCGCAAGGUUAAAACUCAAAUGAAUUGACGGGGGCCCGCACAAGCGGUGGAGCAUGUGGUUUAAUUCGAUGCAACGCGAAGAACCUUACCUGGUCUUGACAUCCACAGAACUUUCCAGAGAUGGAUUGGUGCCUUCGGGAACUGUGAGACAGGUGCUGCAUGGCUGUCGUCAGCUCGUGUUGUGAAAUGUUGGGUUAAGUCCCGCAACGAGCGCAACCCUUAUCCUUUGUUGCCAGCGGUUAGGCCGGGAACUCAAAGGAGACUGCCGGUGAUAAACUGGAGGAAGGUGGGGAUGACGUCAAGUCAUCAUGGCCCUUACGACCAGGGCUACACACGUGCUACAAUGGCAUAUACAAAGAGAAGCGACCUCGCGAGAGCAAGCGGACCUCAUAAAGUAUGUCGUAGUCCGGAUUGGAGUCUGCAACUCGACUCCAUGAAGUCGGAAUCGCUAGUAAUCGUAGAUCAGAAUGCUACGGUGAAUACGUUCCCGGGCCUUGUACACACCGCCCGUCACACCAUGGGAGUGGGUUGCAAAAGAAGUAGGUAGCUUAACCUUCGGGAGGGCGCUUACCACUUUGUGAUUCAUGACUGGGGUG
rnacentral:rRNA from 1 species